GGUUUUUUGAAUUUAACUAAAAAAUCAGGCCUGCCCACUGAUAAAUGGCUGCAGUAUUUUGACUGUACAAAGGUAGCAUAAUCAUUAGUCUUUUAAUUAAGGACUGGUAUGAAAGGUUAGACGGAGGUAGACUGUCUCUAAUAUAACAAUAAAUUUUAUUUUUAAGGAAAAGAGCUUAAAUUUAUUAAAGGGACGAGAAGACCCUAUUAAAUUUAAUAUAAUAAAUUAUUUUUAAUUAAAUAAAAAAAAUAAUUGUUUGUUAAUUUUACUGGGGCGGUGUGUUUAUAACUUUAUUAUAAUUUAAUAUGUUAAAUAACGAUAUUUUGAUCCGAGAGGAUUGAUAUUAGAUAAAAUUACUAUAGGGAUAACAGCGUGAUAUUUUUUGAGAGUUCUUAUUGACAAGAAUGUUUGCGACCUCGAUGUUGGAUUAAGAAGUCUAAUUGAUGCAGUAGUUUUUAAAGAGGGUCUGUUCGACCUUUAAAUUCUU
rnacentral:rRNA from 1 species